rnacentral:rRNA from 1 species
GACAGAGGUGCCAAGCGUUAGGCGGAAUCACUGGGCUUAAAGCGUGUGUAGGCGGAUCGUUAAGUGUCUUGUGAAAUCCCACGGCUCACCCGUGGAACUGCUGGGCAUACUGGCGAUCUUGGGCCAACUAGGGGCAGCCGGAACAAGCGGUGGAGCGGUGAAAUGCGUAGAUAUCGCUUGGAACGCCGAAGGUGAAAACAGGCUGCUGGAGUUGCGCCGACGCUGAGACACGAAAGCCAGGGGAGCAAACGGG